GGAGGAAACAGGCAGCUGUUUUUCAGACGGCAGUGCCACCCUGUCGCACGAGAGGGCGCUAGAGAGCAACGAAACACUGAAACCCAAUUACUACGCAGAAUACGCGAUCCUAAAACAAUACAUAUUGAGCACGGCCAGGCUUCCAGACGACUGGCGGGAAGACGGAAGAGGCCGGUGGCUUCAGGAAAUGGAGAAAGAUCUCUGAGAUCGACGAUGGUCCGUUGAGAGCAUUUCCCUAACGCGUGUGUAACGGCCAGCCUCCGUGUCAACAUCGGGAUUCCGUCUCCACGGCGGUAGAGGCCUGAGAUCCUGUCCUUGGAUAGACGGGCAAACAGACGGGGCAUCCGGUGCCGCUCGGAGCCAUGUGGUGCCCUAGGCAAGCAUGACCGCCGGCACCCCCUGCUGGAGACAAAGUAACAUUGGCUCACCGGAUCAGUGCCCCCCUGAGAAGACGGCGUUCUAGGCAGCCGCCUAUGUCACAUGGUACGUUGACCUGCACCUGACAUUCUGCAGACGUGCAUUUUCAGAAGUCCCCAGCAGUACACGGUAAACUGGACAAAGUACUGGGAAGCCUGGGGAGGAUGCCUGGGAUGGAGCUGAAGUGCCAGGAAUGAGCCGCAAGCAGCUCUGUGGACUGUUUGUGGCCUCAGAGUCAAGCUCAGCUAAAAGCCUGUGAUGACACCUCGUAAAAUAAACCCUCUUAGCCGAGAACUUCAACACAUUACAUGCAUUAAAAUAAACUCCUCGCCUAUAACUUUUUGGCUCCAAACUCUUUAUUCACCAGAGCUUUGACUCAGUACUCAGGUCUCGCGAUGCUGACGACGUAUUUAACGUGCCAGUGUGACCAGCCCCCAGCCCCCCCCCUCCCCCGCCACAGCCUGGCAGCUGGACGCAGCUCCGAACCCGCUGCCAAUUCCAUCACCAUCCAGAAGGGAGCAGCGGAGGACGGUG